rnacentral:rRNA from 1 species
CCUACGGGAGGCUGCAGUGGGGAAUAUUGGACAAUGGGGGGAACCCUGAUCCAGCCAUGCCGCGUGUGUGAAGAAGGCCCUCGGGUUGUAAAGCACUUUCAGUGAGGAAGAACGCCUGGUGGUUAAUACCCAUCAGGAAAGACAUCACUCACAGAAGAAGCACCGGCUAACUCCGUGCCAGCAGCCGCGGUAAUACGGAGGGUGCGAGCGUUAAUCGGAAUUACUGGGCGUAAAGCGCGCGUAGGUGGCUUGAUAAGCCGGUUGUGAAAGCCCCGGGCUCAACCUGGGAACGGCAUCCGGAACUGUCAAGCUAGAGUGCAGGAGAGGAAGGUAGAAUUCCCGGUGUAGCGGUGAAAUGCGUAGAGAUCGGGAGGAAUACCAGUGGCGAAGGCGGCCUUCUGGACUGACACUGACACUGAGGUGCGAAAUCGUGGGUAGCAAACAGGAUUAUAUACCCGGGUAGUC